AAAAACGACGUUCGUGUUUUCUCUCUCUCUUCCUCCUCUCUUUCUCUCCCACUGCAAAAACAGAGGAGAUUUGUGAUCAUGUCUCGAUCAUCAUCAUCCGCCGUCUCGAUCAUCAAAUAAUAAAUUAGGUUUAGAUUAAAGCUUUCCCCACUAUCAAUUUCUCCAUGAAAUUGGAAAACUUGCUUCGGGUGGUGUUUUGUUGUCUGCGUUAAUCCUCCAAUUUUGUGUGUGUAGAUUUGCGCAAUUAGUUGUCAUAAUUAGGGUUUUCGUUUUGUUGUUUCUGGGGUUCCUUAAGGUUUCAUGGAAUUUUUGUGUGUAGAUAUGUUUGUGAGGUGGGAAUUUUAAGUUUACUAUUUGCAAAUUGAUCUUGUGUAGCUUAGGUUGAAGAUGAUCAAACUGAUUUUUGAAACUUGCUCAAACUAGUUUGGAGAUGAUACUCUUUGAUAUCAUCACGCAAGAUGCUAUUUUUUCUCUCUUGGGUGUUCCAUCAUUUUAGAAUUUGCUGGAAAAACGCUGGGUUUUGUUGUUGUAAUCAUAUCUUUCAGCUGCUUCUGAAGUAGUCAAAAGAAAAGUUACUUUCUAGUGUUGAACAAGAUCUUUAAGUGGGUGAUAGUGUGAGUGUGUGCAUCUUGCUUCUUGGGAAGAAGAUCAUGCCUUGAUGGAGUAAUCGAAAGGUUUGGCAAUGCUAGGUUAAACUCCUAUGGUCUGCCCUGAGAACAACCAACUUCAAGCUUCACGUUUUGGUACAAAGGAUCGGAACAACGUUAACAACGGAAAGAGAGGGAGAGUGAUGACGGAGGCAACGACGGUAGCUAUACAUUCGAUUUUCCAAUGAUGUCUCAGCCGCAGCAACACAGUUCGUUUCAGAUGAUUGAAGGAUCAAUGGUUGGAGGAGGAGGAAUGAGAGGAAAGAGAGGGAGAGUGAUGACGAAGGCAAUGGAUAAAGCUGCAGCUCAAAGACAGAAGAGGAUGAUCAAGAACCGUGAAUCCGCUGCUAGGUCUCGAGAGAGGAAACAAGCUUAUCAAGUUGAGUUAGAGACUUUGGCUGCGAAAUUAGAGGAAGGGAAUGAGAAGCUUUUGAAGGAGAUUGAAGAGAGCACUAAAGAGAGAUUCAAGAAGCUCAUGGACGUUUUGAUUCCGUUUUCUAAACGUUUGUAGCCUAACAAUUUUGUUGGUUGUUGAGAAAUUAGAAAGUGUGGUUGGUUGUGUUUGAUUAGGUUGUUGAAUCAAUAUAUAGUUUUUGAAUGUGAAUUGUUUAUGCUAAUGUGCUUUAUUUCUCUCU